UUUAUGGAGAGUUUGAUCCUGGCUCAGAGUGAACGCUGGCGGCGUGCCUAAUACAUGCAAGUCGAACGAUGAAGCUUCUAGCUUGCUAGAGUGCUGAUUAGUGGCGCACGGGUGAGUAACGCAUAGGUUAUGUGCCUCUUAGUUUGGGAUAGCCAUUGGAAACGAUGAUUAAUACCAGAUACUCCCUACGGGGGAAAGAUUUAUCGCUAAGAGAUCAGCCUAUGUCCUAUCAGCUUGUUGGUAAGGKAAUGGCUUACCAAGGCUAUGACGGGUAUCCGGCCUGAGAGGGUGAACGGACACACUGGAACUGAGACACGGUCCAGACUCCUACGGGAGGCAGCAGUAGGGAAUAUUGCUCAAUGGGGGAAACCCUGAAGCAGCAACGCCGCGUGGAGGAUGAAGGUUUUAGGAUUGUAAACUCCUUUUGUUAGAGAAGAUAAUGACGGUAUCUAACGAAUAAGCACCGGCUAACUCCGUGCCAGCAGCCGCGGUAAUACGGAGGGUGCAAGCGUUACUCGGAAUCACUGGGCGUAAAGAGCGCGUAGGCGGGAUAGUCAGUCAGGUGUGAAAUCCUAUGGCUUAACCAUAGAACUGCAUUUGAAACUACUAUUCUAGAGUGUGGGAGAGGUAGGUGGAAUUCUUGGUGUAGGGGUAAAAUCCGUAGAGAUCAAGAGGAAUACUCAUUGCGAAGGCGACCUGCUGGAACAUUACUGACGCUGAUUGCGCGAAAGCGKGGGGAGCAAACAGGAUUAGAUACCCUGGUAGUCCACGCCCUAAACGAUGGAUGCUAGUUGUUGGAGGGCUUAGUCUCUCCAGUAAUGCAGCUAACGCAUUAAGCAUCCCGCCUGGGGAGUACGGUCGCAAGAUUAAAACUCAAAGGAAUAGACGGGGACCCGCACAAGCGGUGGAGCAUGUGGUUUAAUUCGAAGAUACACGAAGAACCUUACCUAGGCUUGACAUUGAGAGAAUCCGCUAGAAAUAGUGGAGUGUCUGGCUUGCCAGACCUUGAAAACAGGKGCUGCACGGCUGUCGUCAGCUCGUGUCGUGAGAUGUUGGGUUAAGKCCCGCAACGAGCGCAACCCCUUUUCUUAGUUGCUAACAGGUUAUGCUGAGAACUCUAAGGAUACUGCCUCCGUAAGGAGGAGGAAGGUGGGGACGACGUCAAGUCAUCAUGGCCCUUACGCCUAGGGCUACACACGUGCUACAAUGGGGUGCACAAAGAGAAGCAAUACUGCGAAGUGGAGCCAAUCUUCAAAACACCUCUCAGUUCGGAUUGUAGGCUGCAACUCGCCUGCAUGAAGCUGGAAUCGCUAGUAAUCGCAAAUCAGCCAUGUUGCGG
rnacentral:rRNA from 1 species